UCAUGAUGAUGUGCUGCACUGAUGAUUUGGUCGCCAACGAGUGGCGGACGGGUGAGUAACACGUAGGUAACCUGCCCAGAAGCGGGGGACAACAUUUGGAAACAGAUGCUAAUACCGCAUAACAACGUUGUUCGCAUGAACAACGCUUAAAAGAUGGCUUCUCGCUAUCACUUCUGGAUGGACUGCGGUGCAUUAGCUUGUUGGUGGGGUAAUGGCCUACCAAGGGCGAUGAUGCAUAGCCGAGUUGAGAGACUGAUCGGCCACAAUGGGACUGAGACACGGCCCAUACUCCUACGGGAGGCAGCAGUAGGGAAUCUUCCACAAUGGGCGCAAGCCUGAUGGAGCAACACCGCGUGAGUGAAGAAGGGUUUCGGCUCGUAAAGCUCUGUUGUUAAAGAAGAACACGUAUGAGAGUAACUGUUCAUACGUUGACGGUAUUUAACCAGAAAGUCACGGCUAACUACGUGCCAGCAGCCGCGGUAAUACGUAGGUGGCAAGCGUUAUCCGGAUUUAUUGGGCGUAAAGAGAGUGCAGGCGGUUUUCUAAGUCUGAUGUGAAAGCCUUCGGCUUAACCGGAGAAGUGCAUCGGAAACUGGAUAACUUGAGUGCAGAAGAGGGUAGUGGAACUCCAUGUGUAGCGGUGGAAUGCGUAGAUAUAUGGAAGAACACCAGUGGCGAAGGCGGCUACCUGGUCUGCAACUGACGCUGAGACUCGAAAGCAUGGGUAGCGAACAGGAUUAGAUACCCUGGUAGUCCAUGCCGUAAACGAUGAGUGCUAGGUGUUGGAGGGUUUCCGCCCUUCAGUGCCGGAGCUAACGCAUUAAGCACUCCGCCUGGGGAGUACGACCGCAAGGUUGAAACUCAAAGGAAUUGACGGGGGCCCGCACAAGCGGUGGAGCAUGUGGUUUAAUUCGAAGCUACGCGAAGAACCUUACCAGGUCUUGACAUCUUGCGCCAACCCUAGAGAUAGGGCGUUUCCUUCGGGAACGCAAUGACAGGUGGUGCAUGGUCGUCGUCAGCUC
rnacentral:rRNA from 2 species